UCUCAUCUAAGAUGACCAUGUCCUUCUUUCUUUAGUCGAAAAGAAAUGAAGGUUUUUGAGGAGAAAAUUUGAGGAUUUUUCUCCAUAUAGUGGACUUCAAUAGUCUCCAAACGGUUGUGUCACGAUCCCAGUUCUGUUUUGUAUGGACUCUUGCACCACACUAACUUUUGCACUUCACCCCGGACUUUCCCAUUAUCCAUUGCACUGAUUACACACACACCUGCAGCCAAUCACACACCCUACAUAAGCCAUGCACUUCCUCUCUCUCGCUGACGAGUAUUGUUUAGCGUUUAUGCUGUUUUGCGUAGCUACUUUACGGAGCCAGUUCCCAGUCCUUGUUUGAGUGUCUAGUUCUAGUCUAAUCUAGUUUCGUCUUGUUUUCUGAUUACCUGCCUGUCUUGGACUUCUCUCUCGCCUUGCCCUUUGGACUCUGUUUGCACCUCUCUUGGACUACUCCCGUCCAUGAAUCUGCUCCUGAGCUUGCUUCAAUCUAUGAGUCCAUUCCUGAGUCCACCACUUUCCAUGAGUCCGGUCCUGAGUUUGUCCCAAUCCUAGAAUCCAGCCUCGUGGUCGUCCCUGAGAUUCCUGUCUGCCUCAAAACGACCGCAGAGGUCGUACCAGAACUGUCUGCCUUCCUCAACACAACCAGAGAGGACAUUCCAGUCAGAGCCCUGGAGGGCUUUUCGGAGCUCCCUGCCUGUCCAGUUAUGGCCCUAGUGGCCAAUUUGCUUCAUGUUUCAGUUUCAACUGAUCAGCCAUGGUGGUUUCCAGAAUUACCAGAUCUGCUGUGGUGGUCAUCUGCUCCGCCGUGAGGGUCUUCAAGCCCGUCUGAACUGCUGUGGUGGUCGUCUGCUCCACCGUGGGGGUCUUCUCCGCCCUGGCCGACUGUCCAGCCUUCUCCGCCCUGGCUGUCUGUCCAGCCUUCUCCGCCCUGGCCGACUGUCCAGCCUUCUCCGCCCUGGCCGACUGUCCAGCCUUCUCCGCCCUGGCCGACUGUCCAGACUUCUCCGCCCUGGCCGUCUGUCCAACCUCAGUCUCCAGGCUGCCUUCUUUUCCACGGACCUGGCCCUCCAUCCCGCCCCCUGGUCCGCCUCCCUCCUGGAUUUUUGGUUUUUAGGACAUACUCCUUUGAGGGAGUAUGUCCAACACCUUCCCUAUUCUACUUACAGAAAAAACAGAACUGGCGCCACGUUCGUUCCGUAAGUUGAAUACGGAAGGUGUAGGACAUACAGCGUAAGCUUUUUGAACAAUACGAAAGUGUGGUUUUGGCGGAAUCACUUGAAAGCGAUCAUUUGUUUAUAUAAAGUACAUACAUUUAAAAAAAUUUUUGAAAAUGACUGAUCGUUUCGCUAGAUAAGACCCUUAUUCCUCGUCUGGUAUCGUUUGAAGCUGCACUGAAACUGUCAUUUUUACCUUCAACCAUUUGGAGACCAGUGAAGUCCACUAUAUGGAGAAAAAUCCUCUAAUAUUUUCCUCAAAAACCUUCAUUUCUUUUCGACUGAAAAAAGAAAUACAUAAACAUCUUGGAUGACAUGGGGUGCAGAUGACGGGCUCUGAGAGGGAGAGGCUCCUGUAACCCUCCUUCAGAUCCAGCCCCGCUCUAUAUGACCAACCUGUCAUCAUCAUCAUCGAGUCCAGCUGCGGGAGUCUGGCAGUGACAGAACCACAUAUUAGCAGCUGGAAAUCGUGCAAGGACUUCCCGCUGCACUGCCUCGUUUUCCCAGAGUUCCACAGCGGAGGUUCUCUGCGAGCGGAUUGGCCUUCGCCGGCUCUCCUCCAUCUGGAGUCCAUCAGAGCGAUCAGAGCCCACGGCUCUCGUGAGAUCCAGCGGAGAACAUGUGCUCAGUUAUUCCUCCCUAACAGACCCAAACCUUCCCUCGCUCCGUUUGCUUUGGCAGUGAGAGACAUUAGAGCGGCGCGCUGAUGCAAGAAAGAUCUGUCGUUUGUUUAGAUCAUCAUUAUUAGUGUACUGAUGUCAGAAGCUAAAAUCACUGUAAUCAACGUGUAUACUUUGAUUUUAUAAGUAAACUUCCCAUAAUGCAUUUCUUAAACCUGCUGCAGUGCACUCUGGGAGUGGCUCUCGACAGAAAUCUGAUACAGUGCCUGUAAUUCAGAGCCAUAUGUUUAAGUGUCAGUUUAAGAUUUCCCAGCAGUCCUUUUCAAACCCCAUCAAAUACUGUCCACACCCUCAUUAAAACACCCUGAAGAACAUGAACAUGUUUCAGACGCAGUGACUUUAACUUUUCUGAGCAAAACUCAGUCAUUCAGAGAAAGUACAGUAACGUUUGGGAUCAGUAAUGAAGAUUUUUGUUCAGCAAGAAUGCAUUAAAUUACAUCAGAAGAGAUAAAUUUGUAAAGAUUUCUAAUUAGAAUAAAUGCUGUACUUUUGAACUUUCUAUUCAUCAAAGAAUCCUGAAAAAAAAAAAAAAUGUAUGACGGUUUCCACAGAAAUCUGUUUUCAACACUGAUAAUAAUCAUAAAUGAAGAAUCACUGAAGACUGGAGUAAUGAUGCUGAAAACAGCUGAUUUAAACUGUAAUAAUAUUUCACUGUUUUACUGUAUUUUUGUACUGUAUUAUACUGUAUUUUCCACAUGACAGCUAUUGACUCACUUGUGAAGUUGGUGCAUCAAUGAAAUUAUACUCUAUUACACAAUGAAGGAGAAACUUCUGAACCAUGUAUUUUCCUCCAGGUAAAGAAUGUUAAACUCACUUUAAUAAUUCACUGUUAUUAUGAGAUCCAUGUUGUGUUCUUUAAUAACACUUUUAAGUCCAGAAUCCACAGCCCACAUUUGCUCUAGAUGCAGUAACUGGAAUCAGUCGGACGCGCCUCACUGCUGGCCGUGAACCAACCUCACAACACUGCCAGAGCGAGAGUGCACACAUUACAGAUGGAGUUAUAUAUUUUAUAUAUGCUCUUAAACUUCACUAAUAAGACUGUUUUUAUAGUUGCACUGGUUUAUUUACAGUGGUCCACUUUUUAAAGAUAUUUAUAAGGCUAUUUUUAUGGUGUUGGAAGCUUGACAGUAUUUAUAGUACAGUAACGUCUCUGUCAAACACCCACAGA